rnacentral:rRNA from 1 species
GAUGAACGCUGGCGGCGUGCCUAAUACAUGCCAGUCGAGCGAACAGACGAGGAGCUUGCUCCUCUGACGUUAGCGGCGGACGGGUGAGUAACACGUGGAUAACCUCCCUAUAAGACUGGGAUAACUUCGGGAAACCGGAGCUAAUACCGGAUAAUAUAUUGAACCGCAUGGUUCAAUAGUGAAAGACGGUUUUGCUGUCACUUAUAGAUGGAUCCGCGCCGCAUUAGCUAGUUGGUAAGGUAACGGCUUACCAAGGCAACGAUGCGUAGCCGACCUGAGAGGGUGAUCGGCCACACUGGAACUGAGACACGGUCCAGACUCCUACGGGAGGCAGCAGUAGGGAAUCUUCCGCAAUGGGCGAAAGCCUGACGGAGCAACGCCGCGUGAGUGAUGAAGGUCUUCGGAUCGUAAAACUCUGUUAUUAGGGAAGAACAAAUGUGUAAGUAACUAUGCACGUCUUGACGGUACCUAAUCAGAAAGCCACGGCUAACUACGUG